rnacentral:ncRNA from 1 species
UUUAAGUUUUACUUAUAAGGAUUUAAAAUUUGAUUAUGGUUUUAGGUAGUGUUAUAAUGAUGUUAUCUGUUUUGGAUUCAUUGAAUGGGCAAUAAUUUUUUACCCUGGCAUUUUGUCGUUUGUAUAAAUUUUGUUCCAGAAUAAUCGGCUAGACUUUAUAAACUUGAACUCUAAUUGAUGUUAGUUUAGGGUUUUGUAAAUAUAUCUUGUUUUUUAGGGUGAAAUCGGGAAUUUUUAUUGAUAAUGCUCUAAUCUUUAAGAUUUGGUGAAUGAAUCAGAUUAGUACCUGAUUAAACAAAAAUUAAAAGAGCAGGAGUAAAGUUGUAUUUAAACUGUAAGAAUAUUGGCAGGUUUUUAAAUUAUCUUUGGAGGUUGAGUAGUAAUUGAGAGCCCUCAUUAACAACUUUUACUGUAGGCGCAUGUAUGAUCGUUUAUUUUAUUCUUAAGGAUUGUAAUUUUAGAUUAACUAUUUUCUGUAAAAAUAGAUAAAUACUUGGUAUAUGUAAAAGAUUUAAUUUGACCUACAAUAUGCUAUCUUGUGGAUACUUUUUUAGUAGAAGGUUGAAAAUGUAAAAGACAGUAAGUUUUUUUUUAUAUAAAGCUGAAGUUUAUUUAAAAACGGUACAAAUCAUCCAUCAAUUGCCUUCAGGGGAGUAAGUUGUAGUAAAGUAGAGUUAGGGGAACCUGGCUYUAGUAAUUA